UACGGAGGAUCCGAGCGUUAUCCGGAUUUAUUGGGUUUAAAGGGUGCGCAGGCCGGAGAUUAAGUCGGCGGUGAAAUUUUGCAGCUCAACUGUAAAAGUGCCUUCGAAACUGGUUUCCUUGAGUGUAGAUGAAGUAGGCGGAAUUUGUGGUGUAGCGGUGAAAUGCAUAGAUAUCACGAGGAACUCCGAUUGCGCAGGCAGCUUACUAAACUACUACUGACGCUCAGGCACGAAGGCGUGGGGAUCAAACAGGAUUAGAUACCCCCGUAGU
rnacentral:rRNA from 1 species